UACAGAGGGUGCAAGCGUUAAUCGGAAUUACUGGGCGUAAAGCGCGCGUAGGCGGCUGUCUAAGUCGGAUGUGAAAUCCCCGGGCUUAACCUGGGAACUGCAUUCGAUACUGGGCGGCUAGAGUAUGAGAGAGGGAGGUAGAAUUCCACGUGUAGCGGUGAAAUGCGUAGAUAUGUGGAGGAAUACCGGUGGCGAAGGCGGCCUGCUGGGCUAUGGCUGACACUGAGGCGCGACAGCGUGGGGGAGCAAACAGG
rnacentral:rRNA from 1 species